rnacentral:rRNA from 1 species
AACGAACGCUGGCGGCAUGCCUAACACAUGCCAGUCGAACGAGACCUUCGGGUCUAGUGGCGCACGGGUGCGUAACGCGUGGGAACCUGCCCUUAGGUUCGGAAUAACUCCCCGAAAGGGGUGCUAAUACCGGAUAAUGUCUUCGGACCAAAGAUUUAUCGCCUUUGGAUGGGCCCGCGUUGGAUUAGCUAGUUGGUAGGGUAAAAGCCUACCAAGGCGACGAUCCAUAGCUGGUCUGAGAGGAUGAUCAGCCACACUGGGACUGAGACACGGCCCAGACUCCUACGGGAGGCAGCAGUGGGGAAUAUUGGACAAUGGGCGAAAGCCUGAUCCAGCAAUGCCGCGUGAGUGAUGAAGGCCUUAGGGUUGUAAAGCUCUUUUACCCGGGAUGAUAAUGACAGUACCGGGAGAAUAAGCGCCGGCUAACUCCGAG